UGAAGAGGGUGACCAGAUUUCUCUACUAUGUUCACACUCCAAAAUCCAUGAACGUCGGUGAACUAUAUUCAUACUCCAAAAGCAUUUCAAAAUUCAUGAAUGUUACGAUAAACGCACAAACGAAAACAAAAUGGCGAAUACGUAACACUCAAACCACAAGCAGAAAAUAAAGAUAACACAUAGAUUUACGUGGAAAAUCCUUUGUAGGGAAAAACCACGGACGAGGGAGGAGAGAACUUCACUAUCGAACGAAAAAGGGAAUACAAUGUUCAGCGGCUUACAACCAACCACGACCUCACGCCUCUAGGGCAAAAAACGAAAAGGAAAUUCAUAACGGAUUUCGUAUCCGAUCCGUACUGCUACCCAUCACAGACAUUCAUUUUUUCUUCACAAAAUUGUUUUCCAAAUUGGUCGCACCGCGAAGCUGUCGGCCAGUCGAAAAUUCGAACUUGAGUCGAUAAUCAAUUUCGAGUCACACUUAACAAU
rnacentral:lncRNA from 1 species